rnacentral:sRNA from 1 species
AUUCAUGCAAAGAUAUCCAGCUUUCGAUGUUGUACGUGAUAUCCCUUUUGUGUUGUGUGGUUCUUGCUCAGGGGGAACAGAGAUGUUUACCCAUAAAUGUUUCACUGAAUAAGGACGUCAACUAGAGGCGGAUCUUCUAGAAAUCAAUACUGUCGUCACUGAUCUGUAGCCGAUGAACAGGACGUCGAUACAAGCACGUUACACCACAGAGUAAUUAAUUCUACAAUUAAUUCCUACAGACAUAAAUUCCAGAUAUGCUUGCAAAAACUCAGAUCGAGAGAUUAUUGUAAAAAUGUUAAGGUCUUACAAGGACAAUUACAAGAACACCACAAGUUAUUGCAAGAUUGCUGCCUUCUCCAGAGACCCAAAAGAUUAACGCAAAUUAGGUCUAUAAGAGUCGGUUGUAACGACGUCGCAAGAUGACUGCGAUCACUUUACGAAAUAGAAGCGACUUCCAGGGAUUGGAUGAUUGUGACGACUUGCAGAGGUUAUCGCAACAAGUUCGAAAGAAGCUUGCAACGGCUUCCAACUACGGUUUUUAACUUUUUAUGGGUGAUUUCGACGAUUUGAAGCGAUUUCUGCAACUAUAAAUGGGAAUGAUUGAAUCAUCCUCAAAGAACAUUGUAAUAAUUUCCCCUUAAAUUAAGUAAAUGUCAUGUUGUAAAUUUUGAACUUACCAGAUGGCAGAAAAUUAAUACAAAACUUGCAACAUGACAACUUUGUGUGAAUUUUGUAUUUUACCAUGGGGAGAAAUUUUGACAAACUCUUGUACAUGAAGACAUUUUCGUGAAAUUUGACCUACUAUUAUCUAUUUUCAAAAGAAUUCACAAAUGUACCUUUUUAUUAUAAUUGCCUAAUUAUCUUAUUAACUCUUACACCUCCAUCUUUCAUUUUACUCACUCAGAUUGAAGUUUUGCUCUAUGACAUAUGUCACUCGUGUUUAAGUGCUAAUUUCUAUUGUUUUCAGUCUUAGCUAUAUUGUGAUAUAUACACUAUUGUCGAAAGAGGGAUUAGGUUUCUGGUUGUUCAGGUAUGAGGUUUUUGUGUUCCCAGAAAUCACCCAUACUGACCUAAAGUUCAAAUAAAGUGUUUUUAUAGAG